ensembl:snRNA U5 U5 spliceosomal RNA
AUACUCUGGUUUUUCUUCAGAUCCUAGAAGUCUUUUGCCCUUGACUAAAGAUCUCUGUGAAGAGGAACAAAUCUGAGUGUUUACCCAAUUUUUUGAGGCAAAAACC